rnacentral:rRNA from 1 species
AUUGAACGCUGGCGGCAGGCCUAACACAUGCAAGUCGAGCGGUAGAGAAGUGCUUGCACUUCUUGAGAGCGGCGGACGGGUGAGUAAUACCUUGGAAUUUGCCUAGUGGUGGGGGAUAACGUUCGGAAACGGACGGUAAUACCGCAUACGUCCUACGGGAGAAAGCGGGGGACCUUCGGGCCUCGCGCCCUUAGAUGAGCCUAGGUCGGAUUAGCUAGUUGGUGAGGUAAUGGCUCACCAAGGCAACGAUCCGUAACUGGUUUGAGAGGAUGAUCAGUCACCCUGGAACUGAGACCCGGUCCAGACUCCUACGGGAGGCAGCAGUGGGGAAUAUUGGACAAUGGGCGAAAGCCUGAUCCAGCCAUGCCGCGUGUGUGAAGAAGGUUUUUGGAUUGUAAAGCACUUUAAGUUGGGAGGAAGGGCAGUAACUUAAUACGUUGCUGUUUUGACGUUACCGACAGAAUAAGCACCGGCUAACUUUGUG